rnacentral:ncRNA from 1 species
AGUUAGCAAUGGGAAUGAAAUUUUUUGGAAAAUCUUUUCUUCCCCUAAAGGGAAAAAAAUAGGGGAAGAAAAGAUAAUGAUAUUUAUAUAGUAGAUAACUAUUGACUUUAAAUUUCUUUAUGUUAUUUAAUAAAAGAAUACAAAUAGAAGAUAGAUUUUUUAAUUUUAUAUGUUAAAAAUAGAGUUUAACUUAUGCCCGGCGAAGCCUGUGCCAGCCGCCGCGGUUAUACAGGCGGGUUAAAAUUGUUAUUUCUAUAGGAAAAAAUUUUUUUCAAAAAUUUCUUUUAAGUAAGGUGAAAUUUUUUAAAAUUUUAAAAAAUUUGUUUUCUAAAAAUUAAUUUUUAGACUAGGAUUAGAUACCCUAUUAUUAAUUAUAGUAAUAUUGUUAGUAUGUAAAAAUUGUGAAAUCAAAAGAUUUUGGCGGUAUUUUAAGCUUUUUAGAGGAAUUUGCUCUUUAAUUGAUAUGACACCAAUAUCUGACUUAGCUUUGUUAUUACAGUUUGUAUAUCGUUAUGUGAGAAUUAUAUUAAAAGGUUAUAAUUAAGAGAUAUUUUAUUUAAAAUGUUAGGUCAAGAUGCAGCAUAUAGGUAAGGUUGAAGUGAAUUACGCAAAUUUUUAUUUGGUAAGGUUGAAAUGAGAAUUAGGAUUUAAAAGUAAAAUGGGAUUAUAAUGUCUAUUUGAAUAAAGCUCUAAAAUAUGCACAUAUCGCCCGUCGCUCUCUAAGUGAGAUAAGUCGUAACAAAGUAAGGAUACUGGAAAGUGUUCUU